rnacentral:rRNA from 1 species
UGGGGAAUAUUGGACAAUGGGCGAAAGCCUGAUCCAGCCAUGCCGCGUGUGUGAAGAAGGCCUUUUGGUUGUAAAGCACUUUAAGUGGGGAGGAAAAGCUUAUGGUUAAUACCCAUAAGCCCUGACGUUACCCACAGAAUAAGCACCGGCUAACUCUGUGCCAGCAGCCGCGGUAAUACAGAGGGUGCAAGCGUUAAUCGGAAUUACUGGGCGUAAAGCGCGCGUAGGUGGUUAUUUAAGUCAGAUGUGAAAGCCCCGGGCUUAACCUGGGAACUGCAUCUGAUACUGGAUAACUAGAGUAGGUGAGAGGGGAGUAGAAUUCCAGGUGUAGCGGUGAAAUGCGUAGAGAUCUGGAGGAAUACCGAUGGCGAAGGCAGCUCCCUGGCAUCAUACUAACACUGAGGUGCGAAAGCGUGGGUAGCAAACAGGAUUAGAUACCCUGGUAGUCCACGCCGUAAACGAUGUCUACCAGUCGUUGGGUCUUUUAAAGACUUAGUGACGCAGUUAACGCAAUAAGUAGACCGCCUGGGGAGUACGGCCGCAAGGUUA